UUCUAUGGCUUAUUUGGUUGAAGCGCCGGUCUAGCGAAUACGGAGUCGUGGGUUCGAUUCCCACCAGAA
rnacentral:tRNA from 1 species